GAGCGGUAGAGAUUCUUCGGAAUCUUGAGAGCGGCGUACGGGUGCGGAACACGUGUGCAACCUGCCUUUAUCAGGGGGAUAGCCUUUCGAAAGGAAGAUUAAUACCCCAUAAUAUAUUGAAUGGCAUCAUUUGAUAUUGAAAACUCCGGUGGAUAGAGAUGGGCACGCGCAAGAUUAGAUAGUUGGUAGGGUAACGGCCUACCAAGUCAAUGAUCUUUAGGGGGCCUGAGAGGGUGAUCCCCCACACUGGUACUGAGACACGGACCAGACUCCUACGGGAGGCAGCAGUGAGGAAUAUUGGACAAUGGGUGAGAGCCUGAUCCAGCCAUCCCGCGUGAAGGACGACGGCCCUAUGGGUUGUAAACUUCUUUUGUAUAGGGAUAAACCUUUCCACGUGUGGAAAGCUGAAGGUACUAUACGAAUAAGCACCGGCUAACUCCGUGCCAGCAGCCGCGGUAAUACGGAGGGUGCAAGCGUUAUCCGGAUUUAUUGGGUUUAAAGGGUCCGUAGGCGGAUCUGUAAGUCAGUGGUGAAAUCUCAUAGCUUAACUAUGAAACUGCCAUUGAUACUGCAGGUCUUGAGUAAAGUAGAAGUGGCUGGAAUAAGUAGUGUAGCGGUGAAAUGCAUAGAUAUUACUUAGAACACCAAUUGCGAAGGCAGGUCACUAUGUUUUAACUGACGCUGAUGGACGAAAGCGUGGGGAGCGAACAGGAUUAGAUACCCUGGUAGUCCACGCCGUAAACGAUGCUAACUCGUUUUUGGGUUUUCGGAUUCAGAGACUAAGCGAAAGUGAUAAGUUAGCCACCUGGGGAGUACGUUCGCAAGAAUGAAACUCAAAGGAAUUGACGGGGGCCCGCACAAGCGGUGGAUUAUGUGGUUUAAUUCGAUGAUACGCGAGGAACCUUACCAAGGCUUAAAUGGGAAUUGACAGGUUUAGAAAUAGACUUUUCUUCGGACAAUUUUCAAGGUGCUGCAUGGUUGUCGUCAGCUCGUGCCGUGAGGUGUUAGG
rnacentral:rRNA from 1 species